ACGUGAUACUCACGUAUUAACUCACCGAGAACUGUUAUUUUCCCCUGUUGUAGAACAUAGGUGAUUUGGGAGCGGAAUGGUGCGAGGUACCGAAAGGUAUGCUCUUCAUCCCUUAUCUAGGAUAGUUCGACUAUCAGCCCAUGCCUACAAACAGAAGAUGAAUUGCGGCUGCCUAUUAAGCCUGCGCCUUGGCUUGCAGUCCGUGGUGACCUUAUUAACCCCUUUACUAUUUAUUUCUGAUGUGUAUGUUUAUAUGGAUUCCUGACUUAACCGUCGGUCGAGUUUAUAUAAAUGUCGUAUAUUACUAAUACGAAACAACUCUUAGCAACGGAUAUCUUGGUUCU
rnacentral:misc_RNA from 1 species